AGGAGGCUAUUGGAAUUAGAGUUAUCAAAUUUAUACAUGACCAGUAAAACUUUAGCUACUUUUCUGAGUAAACAGCCACAGCCCUGACCUCUGAAGUCAUGAAGAAGCCAUACUAAUAUCACACCACUCGGAAGAUUUAGGUAGACUGCACCAUAUAUUAUAUAGCUGCACAGAGGAUAGCUAGGAGGAAAAUAAGUGCAGCUACUCCAAGAAUCAAACAGAUGAUCCAACACACCUUCCUGAGUACACUCAUUGGAAUACAAGUAGCAGACUGCUUCAUCUGCACUCGACUUUGCGAUGCAUCCUUUGAAAUAAGAGGUUUGAGCAUCUCUGGAUCAUCUUUGGAUAUGGAGGGCUUUAUAUGAUCUUGGCUAUCGCUUUUGGUGGGAUUAUUGGUUCCUUGAGCAUUUGCAACAGCCGACCCUCCUACACUCUUUGUAGAUGGUGAUGUAUAGAGACUGAAAGCCAGCACCCUUGUUCUUAGCCGGAGGUCUGAUAGCAUUUCCCAUCGGAAUUUCGUUUCUUCUUUAGUUAAGAUGGGUUUGGAAGGUGGGUUAUGGAGGAGAGAUUCAAGGCGAUCAAGCUUGACUCCGACCUCCAAAAGCUUGGAUUGAGCAUUGUCUCCAAGCCUGUGUCCGUUCUUGAUCCUGCUUUCUAUGUCCUCCACCAAUCUGGAAACCUCUUGUGCUUCUCUCAUCCAUGCAUCCACAAAUAGAGAGUUUUCACUCAUCUCUCCAAGACUUUGCAAGACCC
rnacentral:misc_RNA from 1 species